GACGAACGCUGGCGGCGUGCCUAACACAUGCAAGUCGAGCGGGGAUUUAAGUGGAAGUUCUUCGGAAUGGAGAUUUAAAUUCUAGCGGCGGACGGGUGAGUAACGCGUGAACAAUCUGUCCCGGACAGGGGGAUAACACUUGGAAACAGGUGCUAAUACCGCAUAAGACCACGGCCUCGCAUGGGGCUGAGGUAAAAGGAGCAAUCCGGUUCGGGGUGAGUUCGCGUCCGAUUAGUUAGUUGGUGAGGUAACGGCCCACCAAGGCGACGAUCGGUAGCCGGCCUGAGAGGGUGAACGGCCACAUUGGAACUGAGAGACGGUCCAAACUCCUACGGGAGGCAGCAGUGGGGAAUAUUGGGCAAUGGGCGAAAGCCUGACCCAGCAACGCCGCGUGAGGGAAGAAGGUUUUCGGAUUGUAAACCUCUGUCCUAUGGGACGAAGGAAGUGACGGUACCAUAGGAGGAAGCCCCGGCUAACUACGUG
rnacentral:rRNA from 1 species